GACGAACGCUGGCGGCGUGCUUAACACAUGCAAGUCGAACGAAGAGCGAUGGAAGCUUGCUUCUAUCAAUCUUAGUGGCGAACGGGUGAGUAACGCGUAAUCAACCUGCCCUUCAGAGGGGGACAACAGUUGGAAACGACUGCUAAUACCGCAUACGAUCUAAUCUCGGCAUCGAGGAUAGAUGAAAGGUGGCCUCUACAUGUAAGCUAUCACUGAAGGAGGGGAUUGCGUCUGAUUAGCUAGUUGGAGGGGUAACGGCCCACCAAGGCGAUGAUCAGUAGCCGGUCUGAGAGGAUGAACGGCCACAUUGGGACUGAGACGCGGCCCAGACUCCUACGGGAGGCAGCAGUGGGGAAUCUUCCGCAAUGGACGAAAGUCUGACGGAGCAACGCCGCGUGAGUGAUGACGGCCUUCGGGUUGUAAAGCUCUGUUAAUCGGGACGAAAGGCCUUCUUGCGAAUAGGGAGAAGGAUUGACGGUACCGGAAUAGAAAGCCACGGCUAACUACGUG
rnacentral:rRNA from 1 species